rnacentral:tRNA from 1 species
AAGGAAGAACAGAAAAUAAUAAGUACUGCUAAUCCUUAUCUACCAAGGUUAAAAUCCCUGGCUUCCUUG